rnacentral:rRNA from 1 species
GAAUAUUGGACAAUGGGGGGAACCCUGAUCCAGCCAUGCCGCUUGUGUGAAGAAGGCCUUUUGGUUGUAAAGCACUUUACGCGAGGAGGAGGCUACUCUAGUUAAUACCUAGGCAUAGUGGACGUUCCUCGCAGCAUAAGCGCCGGCUAACUCUGUGCCAGCGGCAGCGGUAAUACAGAGGGUGCAAGCGUUAAUCGGAUUUACUGGGCGUAAAGCGCGCGUAGGUGGACAAUUAAGUCAAAUGUGAAAUCCCCGAGCUUAACUUGGGAAUUGCAUUCGAUACUGGUUGGCUAGAGUAUGGGAGAGGAUGGUAGAAUUCCAGGUGUAGCGGUGAAAUGCGUAGAGAUCUGGAGGAAUACCGAUGGCGAAGGCAGCCAUCUGGCCUAAUACUGACACUGAGGUGCGAAAGCAUGGGGAGCAAACAG